rnacentral:lncRNA from 1 species
UCCACUUCGAGUAAUUAGAACAAUUAAGCAUAGAAAUAGAAUCACCAAUAGGAACAAGGAUGAACUCAUAUCUGAAAUGUAAAAUUAAUAAAAUGCAUGUUUUAUCAAUAAAAUACCACAUCCAAAAAUUACCACAUCCGUCACGCCCCGAGACCCGCUACCAAUUUGGUCCGGUUCGGGCGCGUCGAACAGACGCCGAACAGACAGGACCUUCCCUGUCCGCCCAAGGCUAAACAAUAAGAUCAUGUACAACAAGUUCCCAGGAAAUCACUUGAAUACAUACACGAUCAUACAACAACAGCGAGAGCACAACUAGUGCUAAACAACCAAGAGCAAGCAUCACAAGUAGAGUAUAUACAAGUGAAUAAAAGAGAGAUACCUAUCUAUUACAUUCAUGCAACCUUUAUACAUCUGAUUACAUUUAAACUUCCAAAACAUAAACAUAGAGUUUACAAUCUUCCAAAAUCUCUCACACCUAUACGUCAUCUACUCUCAG